UGGGGAAUAUUGGGCAAUGGGCGAAAGCCUGACCCAGCAACGCCGCGUGAGUGAUGAAGGCCUUCGGGUUGUAAAACUCUUUGGACAGGGACGAAGAAAGUGACGGUACCUAACCAGAAAGCCACGGCUAACUACGUGCCAGCAGCCGCGGUAAUACGUAGGUGGCAAGCGUUGUCCGGAAUUAUUGGGCGUAAAGCGCGCGCAGGUGGUUUAGAAAGUCUGAUGUGAAAGCCCACGGCUCAACCGUGGAGGGUCAUUGGAAACUAAUAAACUUGAGUGCAGGAGAGAAAAGUGGAAUUCCUAGUGUAGCGGUGAAAUGCGUAGAGAUUAGGAGGAACACCGGUGGCGAAAGCGGCUUUUUGGCCUGCAACUGACACUGAGGCGCGAAAGCGUGGGGAGCAAACAGG
rnacentral:rRNA from 1 species